UACGGGGGGGGGCAAGCGUUGUUCGGAAUUACUGGGCGUAAAGGGCUCGUAGGCGGCCAACUAAGUCAGACGUGAAAUACCUCAGCUUAACUGAGGAACUGCGUUCAAAACUACCGUGCUUGAGGGAGACAGAGGUAAGCGGAACUGAGGGUGGAGCGGUGAAAUGCGUUGAUAUCCUCAGGAACACCGGUGGCGAAAGCGGCUUACUGGGUCUCUUCUGACGCUGAUGCACGAAAGCUAGGGUAGCAAACGGG
rnacentral:rRNA from 1 species